CCUCGCGAGCUCUCCUCCAUUUCUUUCCGCAACCACCGCUGCUUCCCCGCUCGCUCGUUCCCUCUCGUGCCGUGCGAAGCUAGCGCCGCCGCCUUCCACCAUCUCCGGCCACUGCUAGGGCUGCUGCCUAGCCGCGCCGUCGCCACCGCCGCGCUCACCGAGCCCGCCUGCUCCUCGCCACCGGAACACGUCUCGCCUCAGUCGCCGGUCCCGCAGCUGCCCGUCCGCGCCCUCUGCCGCCAGGUUGUCGCCUUCCUCACCGCCGCCGUCGUCCCCUUCCGCGCCGGCCGAUUCCGGUGAAUCCGAAGCUCUACUUUACUUUGAAGUGGUCCCAGAAGUUCCUGCAGCACCGGGGGCAAGGCAAGUGAUACAUGUUAAUUAAUCAUAUUGUACCUAUUUCGCAAACGUCUCAUUUUCUAUUAAAUAUUGCAUUAGGACACUCAAAAGGUAUGUAAUUAGCUGUGUGACAUCACAAAAACGUGAAUUUGCCCGAGAACACUCCAAAAGUAUGGUAAUUUGCUGCAGGACACCGAACGCAUUAAAAUAUAAUAUCCACCCAAUUGAUGAGAGAGAAACCAUACAAAAUGACAUAUUUGCCCUUCUUCUCCCUUCUUUCGGUCUUUUUCCAACGCUCACUUGCAACGAGCUCCAAUGGCUUGCCACUGUCAUCGGCCUCAUCCCUACCCCCCAAGUCCCCAGCUGAUCGUGCGCGCCACAAGCUCUGCUGGUCUCCUUGACACGCUGCACAAGCUUAGGAACGUGGCCGCUGAGAGCAAGCGUAAUAGGAAGCUCCUCGCAGCCAUCCCCGGCAUGGUGGGGUACUGGAGUGAUGGAUUGACAAAUAGCAAAGAUUCACAUUUAGGAAUUAUCCAUUUUCUGCUGGUGGAAUGAUGGCUACUUUUGCUUGGCUUGCUGCUUGCUGAGUUGCUGCUGCACCUGCACUGCUAUUGCGCCAUGCGCCUCCUGCCCAGCUUGCCAGUGCCUGCUCGCCACCUACCGUGCCACUGCCCACGAACCCGGCGACCACACCCCUCCUAGCCUCCGCCUGCCCUCUCGUGUGCGGCGCCGGCUCUAGGCUCCACAUCAGCCAUCGUCCAUCGAUGGGGUGAUGGGGUGAUGGGGAUUUGGGUCGGCCGGUCUGCGAUGGAUUGGGGAAUCGAUGGAGGAUUGGGAGAAGAAGAAGGGCAAAACGGUCAUUUUGUAUGGGUUCCCUCUCAUCAAUUGGGUGGAUAUUAUAUUUUAAUGUGUUCGGUAUCCUACAGCAAAUUACCACACUGAGUGUUCUCAGGCAAAUUCAUAUUUUUGUUAUGUCUCGCAACUAAUUACAUAUUUUUUGAGUUGUAGCAAAUUUUGCCAUUUUACAAUGUCAUGUGGGAUGGUUACCUAUACUUGUCCAUAGAUUGUUUACCUUAACCCAUUGAUAAAAUGGGUAUUAAUAUGACUAGAUCAACUAGGAAACAUACUUAGCCAUGCUUAGAUCAACUAGCUUACUAUAUGGGGGAUCUCACAUGUAACUUAAAUCUUGGUUUAAUGAUGAUGAUAUUGGACGUGUACCACCAGGGUAUUCAAACAACUAAAAUAUGCUUAAUGGUGGGCUAUUGGCGCAUGGUUUUGAUAGACACGCCUAUGUCAUUUAAUGCACAUGCAGCUCGGAAUUUUGUUUCGUAAAUUUCUUGGCGUGACAAGUUGGUAUUAGAGCUGACCUUGACCAUAGGACAAGCCAACUGGAAACCUUAAGAGCUCACUGAAACUCUUUCAUACGCAUAUGUUCUUUUGCAUUUGGAUUUGUUUCAGGGAAAAUUUGAGAAUUUUCUUCCUUGGUUUACAGGGAAAAAUCUUGAUCGCUUAUUCGAAUGAGAUAUUUAAAAUUUAGGUCAGUCUAGGGUAUUAGUAACUUUGGGUAAAUAGAUUUGGGGUCAAUUGGAAUUUCAUUUGAUAGUUAGUCGAGAAUUUAUUUAAUGGGAGGUAUGCAUUAAGUCAUGUCUUGGUUCGAUGGGAUGCAAUCUUUAUGCUUAUUACUAUUAUCUAUUUAUUUUACGCAUUACUUUAUUGUUUAAUCAGUGUCAUUAGUAUGUUUAUUUGGUUCAUGUAAAAUGUUCUGUGCAUAAAAAGUUGCUCUUGCUUGCUUAUUUACUUGAGUCAUUUAUUGCUUUAUUUAAUUUGGAUUUGAGCAUGCAUAGAUUCCUACCCUUUGUCUUCUAUAGAUGUCAAACCUUCCCCCUACACACGGUCAGGGCAUGGAUGGCUUCGUGGCAGAGCUGGGUCGUAUGGCGAUCGCAGUGGGCUACCCUCAUAACCCGGAGUACACACAGCUUCGCCUCCUCAAUGGCGAGUUCCCGCACCAAGUCCGCUUGGAGGUGCACGACAUUCCCACUGUCUUGCCCAACAUGGUAGUUACUGCUACAGGAGGCACCUUUGAGCAUGCUUGCCAGGAGGCUGCUUUAAGGAUGAUGGCCAGGAUGAGGGAGCUACACGACCACGACCUCCGCAACACUGCUUACCGCUAUCACCCUCGCCGUAGCAGUGACGCCAACAUUAGUACCUUCAGGUCAGCGUCAGGGGAGAAUGACACCACCUUUGGACGCAUGUGCGCUGUGAUGAAGGGUGUCGGUGACAUGGGACCGGGAGUAUCAUGACUAGAGGCUUGAGGCAGACGCCAUCGCCCACGUGGCCUGGCACCCUCGGGGGACG